rnacentral:rRNA from 1 species
GAUGAACGCUGACAGAAUGCUUAACACAUGCAAGUCGAUGGGGAAGUGGUGCUUGCACCAUGGUAGCCAUGGCGGACGGGUGAGUAACGCGUAAGGAACUUGCCUGCGGGACUGGGAUAACAGCAGGAAACUGCUGAUAAUACCGGAUAAGGUCAUUAAGCUGCAUAGCUUAGUGAUGAAAGGAGACGCCUGCGGAGAGCCUUGCGUCCUAUUAGCUAGUUGGAGGGGUAACGGCCCACCAAGGCGAAGAUAGGUAGCCGGCCUGAGAGGGUGGACGGCCACAAGGGGACUGAGAUACGGCCCUUACUCCUACGGGAGGCAGCAGUGGGGAAUAUUGGACAAUGGGGGCAACCCUGAUCCAGCAAUUCUGUGUGCACGAAGACGGUUUUCGGAUUGUAAAGUGCUUUCAGCAGGGAAGAAGGAAGUGACGGUACCUGCAGAAGAAGCGACGGCUAAAUACGUG